rnacentral:misc_RNA from 1 species
CAGUGUUCGCUGCCCUCCGGGGUAGCAAACCUCACCCUUGUGUAUUAUAUCUUUGUUGCUUUGGCACGCCGCCCCUGGGCGCUGGCUCCGGCUGGCUAGUGCGUGUCAAAGGACCCCAAACUCUGAAUGUUAGUGUCGUCUGAGUACUAUCUAAUAGUUA